AUAGUGGUCAACAGGCCUCUCUUCCCCUAACGCGCUCUGGAUGUCCCCUGGUACCUUACUUCGGAGUGCGGCCCACAGCAUCUGCAUCCUCUGGGAACCUGGUAGAAAUGCACAACCUCAGAUCUGCCAAAUCGGUAGCUGCAUUUUAACAAGAUCGCCAGUAUACUGUGUGAAAGGAAUAAUAUGUGGCAAAUGAUUUCAACACCUGCCAAAAUGAGAAUCAGUUGACCGGCUCGUGAAUGCAUGUGACAACGUAGGUAUGGAGGGCUUUUACCAGAACUAGAAGACACUGGAUUAUGGAAUAUUAGUAGAGGAAAAGACUUCAGCAAUUAUCUGGUUCAGUCUGUCAUACAGAGAUGAAGCCCUCGAGGUGGAGAAAGCUUCUACAACUCCUUAAUAUCCUCCUGCCAGCACGGUGGAACCAAGA